rnacentral:lncRNA from 1 species
UUAGUGGAGGCCCACUUAAGAUAAAAUUCUUAAUAAAGUCCUUACCAUCAAAAGUUUAUAUUUUUGUCUUCAAAUCAUCUUGAUUUUGAAGAAAUUAUUUUUAAAUUAAAGAAUCACUGCUUAUUAUUAAUGAACGGACAACAUCUUCUUCAUCAAGAUACUUUAAUGCAUUGAGCAUGUUGAAAACAACUUAUUGACCAUUAAACCUCAUGGUAAGUUCUCCUUUCUCAACAUCAAUAAGACUCCUUCCGGUAGGUAGGAGUGGUCUUCCCAACAUAAUAAGAUUUUCCUAAUUAACCAUGAAAUCCAUUAUGAUGAAAUAAGCCAGAAUCAAGAACUUAUCAACCCUUACCAGCACAUCUUCUAAUUUACCUUAAGGGUAGCAAAUGAUUUUGUCAAGUAGUUGUAUAGUUAUAAUGGUGUUUCUUACAACUUCAUUUUCAAUCUUAUUGAGUAUUGACAAAGGUAUUAUAUUAAUGCUCAUGUCCAAAUCACAUAAGGCUCUUCUAUCAUACGUGUCUCAAACGGUACAAGAGAUUGUGAAACAACCUAGAUCUUUCAGCUUGGGAGGUAAUCUACCUUGAGAAUUCGACAACAUUCAUAAGCUAAAGCAACAAUCUCAAACUCUCUUACUCUUCUCCAUUUAGUUAAGACAUCCUUCAUGAAUUUGAAAUAAUUAAGUAUUUGAUGUAUAACUUCAAUUAAAGGGAGGUUGAUGUGCAACUUCCUCAAUUUCUCCAUAAACUUUCCAAUUUUUUUAAUUUUAUUUAGCUUUCCUUGUCCUUUUGAGAAAUGGAGGAGGUGAGGUGGUAUUUCUUGAACAAAUAUUUUCUUUGAAAAAAUGGAUCCAGAGGAAUCUAGUGACACGUCUGUAGCCUCGUAUGAAAUGCUUGGUGACUUCUCCUUCUAUAGGUUCUUGAUACUUUCUCAUUGAGCUUGAAUUUAGGUAUUUGCUUCAUUAGAAAAGACAUUAGUUUCUUUCAUAAAUGCCUCAAGUAUUUCCUUCAUAUGGUUACUCCCAUUAGGUACCACAUUCUGAUUUGAUGUAAAUAAACCAGGUGGUAUUUGAGGUGUUUUAGGUUUCAAUUGAUUUUGAGUGUUGAGCCAUGAUAAAUUUAAGUGAUUCCUUCAUCUUGAGUUAUAGUUGUUACUAUAUGGAUUGAUAUUUUUAUUGUAAUUACACAUGUUGUUGUUUUCAUAAUAAUUUGAGAAUAUGCGAUAAGUAACUAAGAUUACAUUAUCUUUAAAGUGUCAUCAACACCAUUUCACUUUAAGUAAAAUAUUUUUUUAUCCAAUAUGACCCUAAUUUGUAUGUUUACUCGCUACUUUAUUAUAUUAGUUCUUGAAAUCUUUGUAUGUUUA